GCCUUCGCCGCCAGCGCCGCGGCGCGCACCCGGACCCCACUUCCCGACCCGGGCCGCCGCUACCCCUCGGCCUCCCUGCCGAUGCGGCGGCCUUUAGGCCCUGGUUCCGGCCCGGCCUCAACAGGAGACCUCCGUUCGGGCCCAUCCAAGCCGGGCUGCAUCCAGCCCGCCGCCUCCCUCUCCCUCUGCCCAGCGUCCACGACCCGCAGCGUCCGCGCGGGGUGAGCGGGGCGCCACGUCUUACCGAAUUUAAGGCGAAGAGGAAAGAGCCAGAAACCCCCGAUGUAGCGGCAACUGCGGCAGUGUCUCCUCUGCGACCGGAACUAACGCCAGGAGGAGGAGGGAGAGCUACAACGAAUUAUCCUAAACCUGGUGGCGUAAAACAAUAUGAAUUUAUUAUCUGACAGAUCUGAAGGUCAGAAUUCCAAAAUGGGUCUCACUGGGCUAAAAUCAAGGUGUCAGCAGGCCUGCAUUCUACUCGGAGACUCUAGUAUAAGAAUAUCAGUUUGGAACCCAGUUAGGAUUAACAAACCAUCUUUUUACUUGUGAAAAACUGAAACACCUGGAAAAAAAAAAGACAAGACAAUAAUUAUGAAACAAAGUGUGCAAAUCUCUCAGCUUUAUAUACAGGGAGAAGAACAAUAAAUGAUUGACAACUGGGUUGAUAAGAUUUACAUCUAUGAAUAAGAGCAUUACAUCAAGUCUUUGGGUUUAAAGAAAUUUUUGGAUGAGAGGAGGCUGGAUGUUCCUGGCUCCUGGGGCAUGGGACUGUGUCAUUCCCUUCAAUUGACAACUGUGAAAAGAAGAGCUACUUUGCCAGACAACUGGACUAUUCAACUAUUCAAAACAGCCUGAAAUCUUAGACAUGAAGGAAUUCAUUUUCUAGGAGCCAGACCAUUGGAAGACUGAAAA